AUGGCGUUCUCCAAAAGCACACUUGCAGAAGGCUCCUAUGGGAAGGUGUACAUAGAAAUGUACAAUAACAACUGGGCAGCAGUCAAAAAGGUCCCCCGUCGUCUUGUCAGCAGGGAGGACGUGGAGAGAGAAUGUAAAGUAUACAACAAAGCAAAGCAUCCCAACAUUGUCCAGCUUCUGGGUAAUAUAAGUAUCAGAGAAAAAAUGUGGAUUAUUCCAUUGGAGUAUAUCUACGGAGAGAAUUUGGAGCAAAUCAUCUUUAAUGCUACAGUGUCUAAGAUACAGGUGACUUUACUAAAAACAAGUUGUUGUUAUUAUUGUCUCUAUAAGACAACAACAUGUAAUUACCCAUUUAGUCGAAAACAUCUCAGUUGUAAAUGACAAACUUUCUUAUAUCAGUCAUAACAAAACCAUAGCUGUUUCAUCAGAUUUUUAAUGCUAAAGCUGAGUUUUGUUGCAUCAGGUCAUAAUGAGGUUAUUUUAUUUCCAAAUGUUCUUUGGUUUUUGUUUUGUAGUUGACUUCAUCAGUCAGAGCUACAGUCAUCAUAGACAUGUGUGAAGGCCUGCUUCAUCUUCACUCCAAAGACAUCGUUCAUCAAGAUCUCAAGCCUGAUAACAUCAUGGUGAGCUAACAACCUGCACUUACAGGUUAUUAGUCAUCAUUUUUUCAGGUGAAACACCAAAAAUGAGAAUUUGGUGCAAAAUGACAUUAAUUUCAGAAAUUCAUCAAAAAAAGGUGAAACAUAUAAUUGUGAUGAUUAUGGCUUAUAGCUUAUGAAAAUCCCAAAUUCAACACAUCAGACUAUUAAAAUUUUGAGAAAAGGAUCAAAGUAUCACACUUUAUUCAUCUAAUUGAUUUGAAACACCUGCAAAGGGUCAGUCUAAGUUGGAUUACUGAAAUGAGUGGACUUUUGAGUUUCACCUGUAUGUGGACUGAAUUCUGUUUGUCCUUCAGGUGGAAUAUAACACACACAGAGCAGUGAUCAUUGACCUGGGACUCGCCAAGUUCUUCAAACAAGGACUGAACUCUGCAGAAAACUUGGGGAAUGAUGCCUAUUUGGCCCCCGAAGUGCUUCUUGGAUACAGCCAGCGGAGUC
rnacentral:lncRNA from 1 species